AGCGAACGCUGGCGGCAGGCCUAACACAUGCAAGUCGAACGAACUCUUCGGAGUUAGUGGCGGACGGGUGAGUAACACGUGGGAACGUGCCUUUUGGUUCGGAAUAACUCAGGGAAACUUGUGCUAAUACCGAAUGUGCCCUUCGGGGGAAAGAUUUAUCGCCAUUAGAGCGGCCCGCGUCUGAUUAGCUAGUUGGUGAGGUAACGGCUCACCACGGCGACGAUCAGUAGCUGGUCUGAGAGGAUGACCAGCCACACUGGGACUGAGACACGGCCCAGACUCCUACGGGAGGCAGCAGUGGGGAAUCUUGCGCAAUGGGCGAAAGCCUGACGCAGCCAUGCCGCGUGAAUGAUGAAGGUCUUAGGAUUGUAAAAUUCUUUCACCGGGGACGAUAAUGACGGUACCCAGAGAAGAAGCCCCGGCUAACUUCGUG
rnacentral:rRNA from 1 species